rnacentral:rRNA from 2 species
AGGACGAACGCUGGCGGCGUGCUUAACACAUGCAAGUCGAACGGAAAGGCCCGCUUGCGGGUACUCGAGUGGCGAACGGGUGAGUAACACGUGGGCAACCUGCCCUCAGCUCUGGGAUAACUCCGGGAAACCGGUGCUAAUACUGGAUAUCGACUUCUGCCUCGCAUGGGGUGUUGUUGAAAGUUUUUCGGCUGGGGAUGGGCCCGCGGCCUAUCAGCUUGUUGGUGGGUGAUGGCCUACCAAGGCGACGACGGGUA